GUCAAGAAUAAAGAGGGAAUGCCGCUAAGGCCGCUUAAUGACAAAAUGCUUUUCUUUGUUUCAAACCUAUUUCUAGGUAUGGGACUCUUCAUGAUGAAGGAGACUGAAAAUGUAUUGAUCGCAAGCUUCCUAAUGUUCUUUCAAGUGAUCUGAACUGUCAGAAGUGUCUCAGUCGUAGUGAAGACAAGUUCAAACUUCCGACAUAUAAUCUUUGAUAUAAGAUCCUUUUCUCCCUGCAAGAAAAUACCACAAUCCCCGCCCCCGAACGAAAUCACCGGCUAGCGGUCCUAUAGACAGAACCCAAGGCCAGUGAGCCCAAUGGCCACAAAGGGGAGUGAUGUACGUGUUUGUGUGCAGGUUUCACAGUGGGACACGGACAGAGAGAAGAACAAAGACAGAGGAAGCACAGCGGGAAAACCUGUCAAUAGGUCUGGCAAGACCUUCUUGACCAGAGAAGAAAGUCAGGGGAUGAAAGACGGGAUGAAGGGACUGAAGGUAUGGGGGGCAGGGGGAGGCUGGGGACCCAGCUGAGACAGGAUCUGGGGGGAGGAACUUCACAUGAACCCCUCCGACCCCUGGGCUCUCAGACCAGGCUUUGACCAUGAAGAUAGUGGAACAGGAGCCGGGCUGGAGAAAUGGGGGCCAACAGGGCCUCUGCUCCGUGGGGAAACCAGUAAACCCUCCUGAGAGGGGCCUGCUGAGAUGUUCACCUGCCCAGGGGACACCACCAGCUAUGGCUGUGGUGAAGGCCAUAGCGUAACAAGUAAACCUGAGCCCCUGUGAGCAUGAGAGGCCUCUGAGAAGCCCAUGGGACGGCAGGUCAAGCAGGAAAUUGGCCUGGUAGGGAAGGCACACGUGCUGGAGAGGGGUCUGAGUUGUGCUCAGCUCCGGGCACCUGGACAUUUGAAGCCAGUUAGCCAUCGCUCAAAUUCCUGAUCCCGGUGGCCCUCUUUAGAGGAAGAUAGGACCUUCGUGUGCAAUGUCUUCAUGUGUCAUGGGUCAUAAUCUCCUCCAACGGGCAUUUUACUUGCUGGGAUGUAGCGCCUUAAGCCUUGGCUCUCCGUUAAACUGCAGCAUUAACAUGACAUAAGGCUUUAGGGUACGUCCACGCCAACAAGGACAAGUCGAAAGGCACAGGCACCAUGUUCACGUAACACAGACAGGUUUCCAAACAAAACAUAAGCCUUGCCCUUGCCUUUUUCGAAAGCAUUCCUCCUGAAGCACAGAGAAGUUGACCGUCUUUAUCACACUGCAAGACGUUUUCGUUUUGUUUGGUCCGUGUCCCCAGCGUGUUUUGUCUUAGGCUUCUGUUCACGUUCCCGCGUCUGUAAAGGACCGUGUCAGGCUGAGUCUCGACUUCCUCAGUCGCCCUGGCUCAAGAUGAAUUGCUGAUUAGAGAAAAAGUAACGCUGUCACCUGGAUGCCUCGGUCUCUUCCUUGGCUCUAACUGUGCUCUGUGCAUACGGCCAGCGCUUCCCAGCGUUGGUCUGAAAAGCAGGCGUAUCGCGCGCGAGGAGGGAAGGAGCGGAAC
rnacentral:lncRNA from 1 species